rnacentral:rRNA from 1 species
CUUCGGGUCAAAGAGGGGGACCUUCGGGCCUCUCGCGUCAGGAUAUGCCUAGGUGGGAUUAGCUAGUUGGUGAGGUAAUGGCUCACCAAGGCGACGAUCCCUAGCUGGUCUGAGAGGAUGAUCAGCCACACUGGAACUGAGACACGGUCCAGACUCCUACGGGAGGCAGCAGUGGGGAAUAUUGCACAAUGGGCGCAAGCCUGAUGCAGCCAUGCCGCGUGUGUGAAGAAGGCCUUCGGGUUGUAAAGCACUUUCAGUCGUGAGGAAGGUAGUGUAGUUAAUAGCUGCAUUAUUUGACGUUAGCGACAGAAGAAGCACCGGCUAACUCCGUGCCAGCAGCCGCGGUAAUACGGAGGGUGCGAGCGUUAAUCGGAAUUACUGGGCGUAAAGCGCAUGCAGGUGGUUUGUUAAGUCAGAUGUGAAAGCCCGGGGCUCAACCUCGGAAUAGCAUUUGAAACUGGCAGACUAGAGUACUGUAGAGGGGGGUAGAAUUUCAGGUGUAGCGGUGAAAUGCGUAGAGAUCUGAAGGAAUACCGGUGGCGAAGGCGGCCCCCUGGACAGAUACUGACACUCAGAUGCGAAAGCGUGGGGAGCAAACAGGAUUAGAUACCCUGGUAGUCCACGCCGUAAACGAUGUCUACUUGGAGGUUGUGGCCUUGAGCCGUGGCUUUCGGAGCUAACGCGUUAAGUAGACCGCCUGGGGAGUACGGUCGCAAGAUUAAAACUCAAAUGAAUUGACGGGGGCCCGCACAAGCGGUGGAGCAUGUGGUUUAAUUCGAUGCAACGCGAAGAACCUUACCUACUCUUGACAUCCAGAGAACUUUCCAGAGAUGGAUUGGUGCCUUCGGGAACUCUGAGACAGGUGCUGCAUGGCUGUCGUCAGCUCGUGUUGUGAAAUGUUGGGUUAAGUCCCGCAACGAGCGC